GACCCCACCGCCACCGCCACUCCUUGUGCCAACAUCGCCCAGAUCCACCGCUCAGCUCUGCCCAGCGCAAGCCCUUCCGGCUCCCAGCCAAUCCCCCACCUCCCCUGACUCUCGAGACGGUGGUAUGAAGCCUGCCGGCCUUAUUCCCCCAUAGAUCGGUCGUCCUCUGAUGACCUCAACCCGCCAGAUCACGGGCUUCUUCCAUCACGCCACCCCCGUAGAAGCAGCAACUCUUAGCAGUCACGGCCGACGUCCUCGGCGUGGAUGGCUGUUUCGGCCGUGCAGUUGGCGACGUCUUCCGCCACCUGUGCAUCGAUGACGGCCUUGACAUCGCGUAUGUGCGACAGUACAGGAGGAUCUCUGACAAAGGCUUCCUGCCGGCCGUCAACGACGCGGAGAGCAAGCAAGACCUGAUCGGCUCGCCGGAGAUGCUUCUUCAUGUCCGUGGUCUACUUCAACCCAUUUGCCCUUCGCUGGAAGACGACUGGCCUGUGAGGGCCGACACGACGAGUUCCCGAGCAGUGCCUCGGUCGGAUGGAUGUGCUCAAGUUCAACGCCCUCAUCCCCUCUCCAGUCCCUGCUCGACGCCCCCAUCCCAUUCUGGUCGACGUCCCGAUCCAGCCGCAUGUACGGCUCCCCAGCUCGACAACCUUCAGUUCAGCAGCUCACCUCCCCAAGGAUCAUAGGCCUCCUCACAGCCUCAAGUGGAAAAUCAAGAAAUGAUCCAACAUGGGAGCAAUCUUUGAUUAUUCCGAUGUAGCUUCAUUAUAUUUUUGUGUUAUGUAAUCCGUUGGUCUGAUACUGAUACUGAUAGUUUCUUGUUUGUAUGGUUGGCUGGUUGCAUUAUUCUAUUAUCACACUAAUCGUUUUUA